rnacentral:lncRNA from 1 species
UUUUUUUUUUCUUCUAAAUAGCCAUUAAUAUGUUCUGAGAGAUGCUGAGCUAAGCUCAUUCCAUUACUUUACAGAUGGAAAACUGCAGCCCAGAGGAAGGAAUCAGCAUACUCAGGGUAGAGAAACAGAGCGGUGAUGAGAAGCCAGCCUUCCACCAUUUCCGGGAGGCUGGAAAAAAUGGGGUUCUGCCAGGUGGACCAAAUCCCUUCAUGCUGGUACCCUCUGCCUUCAGACAGUAAGACUUGGGCUUUUCUACUAGCUGAUGAAAAAAUUGAGCCAAGGUGGAAGGGGUUUACCCAGGGACCCCCAAUCUCCUGGACACAUCUAGGCCUCUGCAGAGUGGUAUGCUAAAAAAAAAAUAUUGGAUGGCCUACAAGCAAGCAUCUGAUCAUGCACUGGGUUUAGGAAUGACACCUAAUGUACCCCAAAUGGCUCAUUUAUUAUUUUUAAGAUGUGUUAAAAAAAUAAAAAUAAAAAUGUUUUAAGUAGCA